UACAGAGGGUGCAAGCGUUGUUCGGAUUUACUGGGCGUAAAGCGAGCGUAGGCGGUCUGAUAAGUCAGGUGUGAAAGCCCUGGGCUCAACCCAGGAAGUGCACUUGAAACUGCCAGGCUAGAGUGUCGGAGAGGUUGGUGGAAUUCUCGGUGUAGAGGUGAAAUUCGUAGAUAUCGAGAGGAACACCGGUGGCGAAGGCGGCCAACUGGACGAAUACUGACGCUCAUGCACGAAAGCGUGGGGAGCAAACAGG
rnacentral:rRNA from 1 species